UGCCAGCCGCCACGGUAAUACGAAGGGCCCGAGCGUUGAUCGGAAUCACUGGGCUUAAAGGGUGCGUAGGCUGACUCGUCAGUGUCUUGUGAAAUCCCACGGCUCAACCGUGGAACUGCAGGGCAUACUGCGAGUCUUGAGGCCAGUAGAGGUCGUCGGAACUCCAGGUGUAGCGGUGAAAUGCGUAGAUAUCUAGAGGAACGCCAAUGGUGAAGACAGGCGACUGGGCUGGACCUGACGCUGAGGCACGAAAGCGUGGGGAGCGAAGAGGAUUAGAUA
rnacentral:rRNA from 1 species